GAUGAACGCUAGCGGCAGGCCUAAUACAUGCGAGCCAAGGGCUGUCUGGUGUAGCACUUCCUCAAACAACCGGCGGACGGGUGCGUAACGCGUAUGCAACCUACCCUAUACAGGAGGAUAGCCCUCGGAAACGAGGAUUAAUACUCCAAAAGAUUGCUUAGAGGCAUUUUUAAGCAAUUAAAGUCGCAAGGCGGUAUAGGAUGGGCGCGCGUCCGAUUAGCUAGAUGGUGAGGUAACGGCUCACCAAGGCGAUGUUCGGUAGGGGUUCUGAGAGGAAGAUCCCCCGCACGGGCACUGAGACCCGGGCCCCACUGCUACGGGAGGCAGCAGUAAGGAGUAUUGUACAAUGGGUGAAAGUCUGAUCCAGCCAUGCCGGGUGCAGGAAGAAGGCCCUAGGGGUGGUAAUCUGCUUUUGAGAGGGAGAAGUAGGGGAGAUGCGUCGCUCGAUGAUAGUACUUCUCGAAUAAGCAUCGGCUAACUUCGUG
rnacentral:rRNA from 1 species